AUUGAACGCUGGCGGCAGGCUUAACACAUGCAAGUCGAGCGGAGAUGAGGUGCUUGCACCUUAUCUUAGCGGCGGACGGGUGAGUAAUGCUUAGGAAUCUGCCUAUUAGUGGGGGACAACAUUCCGAAAGGAAUGCUAAUACCGCAUACGUCCUACGGGAGAAAGCAGGGGAUCUUCGGACCUUGCGCUAAUAGAUGAGCCUAAGUCGGAUUAGCUAGUUGGUGGGGUAAAGGCCUACCAAGGCGACGAUCUGUAGCGGGUCGGAGAGGAUGAUCCGCCACACUGGGACUGAGGCACGGCCCAGACUCCUGCGGGAGGCAGCAGUGGGGAAUAUUGGACAAUGGGGGGGAACCCUGAUCCAGCCAUGCCGCGUGUGUGAAGAAGGCCUUAUGGUUGUAAAGCACUUUAAGCGAGGAGGAGGCUACUGAGACUAAUACUCUUGGAUAGUGGACGUUACUCGCAGAAUAAGCACCGGCUAACUCUGUGCCAGCAGCCGCCGUAA
rnacentral:rRNA from 1 species